UCCCUGGUGGUUCAGUGGUUAGGACUUGGUGCUGUCAGUGCUGGGAUCCAAGUUCAAUUCCUGGUCAAGGAA
rnacentral:tRNA from 1 species